AUUAGAUAAAAAACCAAUGCCCUUCGGGGCUUUCUGGUGAUUCAUAAUAACUAAACGAAUCGCAUGGCCUUUUGUGCCGGCGAUGGUUCAUUCAAAUUUCUGCCCUAUCAACUUUCGAUUGUAGGAUAGAGGCCUACAAUGGUUUCAACGGGUAACGGAGAAUUAGGGUUCGAUUCCGGAGAGGGGGCCUGAGAAACGGCCACCACAUCCAAGGAAGGCAGCAGGCGCGCAAAUUACCCAAUCCCGACACGGGGAGGUAGUGACAAUAAAUACUGAUACAGGGCUCUUUUGGGUCUUGUAAUUGGAAUGAGUACAAUUUAAAUCCCUUAACGAGGACAAUUGGAGGGCAAGUCUGGUGCCAGCAGCCGCGGUAAUUCCAGCUCCAAUAGCGUAUAUUAAAGUUGUUGCAGUUAAAAAGCUCGUAGUUGAACCUUGGGUCUGGCUGGUCGGUCCGCCUCACCGCGUGUACUGGUCCGGCCGGACCUUUCCUCUUGGGGAUCCACAUGCCCUUUACUGGG
rnacentral:rRNA from 1 species